UCUCCCAUAGCUUAGUUGGUAGAGCGCAAUGCUUAUAUCUGAGGCAUUCACCUGUUGAAGCCCAUAUACUUCAAUCAAACGCUCUGAUGUGAGAGUAACAACUCGAUCUUGAGAGACAGAGAGAGACGUUGAUGUCACGGGUUCGAGUCCCGUUGGGAGAA
rnacentral:tRNA from 1 species